CACUAAUUGAAGAAGUGCUUUUGACUUUAUUAAGUCCUCAUCAGCUUCGUACAAUAAUCAAACAAACAAUGGUUAACAAUUUUUUAACGGUUAACCGGUCACCUUGAAAUACAAAAAGAAAAUAGAGAGAGCCGCUGGGGCCAAAAUGUGCUUAAACAGAAGAAAUACUUUGUUUAAUAUACUAAGAAACGAUAGAGUAAAAUUUGAACAGGACUCUCUUCCCAGUAUCUAUGAAAUACCAUUCGUGGACAACGAUUUGGACCAAAAUUUUAAGUAUAUCGGCUAUACGAGUAGGUCCCUAAAGAAGCGUAUACAAGAGCAUAAGAAGGCUGUUCAGAACUCCGCCUCCACCACGACAUUGGCACAGAGAGCCCUGAUUAGCGAUGUAACUAUUCAAUGUGACUAUUAACUGGGAUAGAGCCAGACUUUUAAAAAAGCAGGAAGACCUGGACAGAGGCAAAAAAAAAGCAGGAAGACCCAGACAGAGGCGGGGUCGCGGAAGCUUUGAC
rnacentral:lncRNA from 1 species